UACGGAGGGUGCAAGCGUUAUCCGGAUUCACUGGGUUUAAAGGGUGCGUAGGUGGGCAGGUAAGUCAGUGGUGAAAUCUCUGGGCUUAACCCGGAAACUGCCAUUGAUACUAUUUGUCUUGAAUACCGUGGAGGUCAGCGGAAUAUGUCAUGUAGCGGUGAAAUGCUUAGAUAUGACAUAGAACACCAAUUGCGAAGGCAGCUGGCUACACGAAUAUUGACACUGAUGCACGAAAGCGUGGGGAUCAAACAGG
rnacentral:rRNA from 1 species